rnacentral:rRNA from 1 species
UACGUAGGGACCGAGCCGUUGUCCGGAUUCCGAUUGGGCGUAAAGAGCUCGUAGGCGGCUGUUCAAGUCGAACGUGAAAACUCGGAGCUCAACUCCGAGCCUGCGUUCGAUACUGGACGGCUAGAGUCUGGUAGGGGGAUCUGGAAUUCCUGGUGUAGCGGUGGAAUGCGCAGAUAUCAGGAGGACACCGGUGGCGAAGGCGGGAUCCUGGGCCAGUACUGACGCUGAGGCACGAAAGCUAGGGUAGCGAACGGG